rnacentral:snRNA from 1 species
AGAUGUAGGGUGAUCUGGCUGUGGCAUCUGUCACCUCAUUGAUCCACCAGCAUUAAUUCUGCUGAUCUGGCUGGCAAGGCAGGUUUCCCCUUCCUCACCACUUCAUGUGCAUCUCUCCCAAAGCUACUUGUUACCAAAAAAGAUGAUGAUCUGCCAGGAAUAGAGGAGUUCCAGUCUUCGGUCAAGGGUCAAGUGUAUCUGUGCUUCCCAGUUAGAACCUCCAAACAAGCUAAAGGUCUAUUAGGAGGAAAAUGCAGGGUAGUCAAGUUGCCAAGACUCCAGACUCUAGACACAUCCAAAUGAGGUGCUGCAUGUGGCAGUCUGCCUUUCUUA